rnacentral:rRNA from 3 species
GGGUUGUGAGGUUAAGCGACUAAGCGUACACGGUGGAUGCCCUGGCAGUCAGAGGCGAUGAAGGGCGUGCUAAUCUGCGAUAAGCGCCGGUAAGGUGAUAUGAACCGUUAUAACCGGCGAUACCCGAAUGGGGAAACCCAGUGUGAUUCGUCACACUAUCAUUAACUGAAUCCAUAGGUUAAUGAGGCGAACCGGGGGAACUGAAACAUCUAAGUACCCCGAGGAAAAGAAAUCAACCGAGAUUCCCCCAGUAGCGGCGAGCGAACGGGGAGGAGCCCAGAGCCUGAAUCAGCAUGUGUGUUAGUGGAAGCGUCUGGAAAGGCGCGCGAUACAGGGUGACAGCCCCGUACACAAAAGCGCAUGUGCUGUGAGCUCGAUGAGUAGGGCGGGACACGUGGUAUCCUGUCUGAAUAUGGGGGGACCAUCCUCCAAGGCUAAAUACUCCUGACUGACCGAUAGUGAACCAGUACCGUGAGGGAAAGGCGAAAAGAACCCCGGCGAGGGGAGUGAAAAAGAACCUGAAACCGUGUACGUACAAGCAGUGGGAGCACCCUUCGGGGUGUGACUGCGUACCUUUUGUAUAAUGGGUCAGCGACUUAUAUUCUGUAGCAAGGUUAACCGAAUAGGGGAGCCGGAGGGAAACCGAGUCUUAACCGGGCGUUAAGUUGCAGGGUAUAGACCCGAAACCCGGUGAUCUAGCCAUGGGCAGGUUGAAGGUUGGGUAACACUAACUGGAGGACCGAACCGACUAAUGUUGAAAAAUUAGCGGAUGACCUGUGGCUGGGGGUGAAAGGCCAAUCAAACCGGGAGAUAGCUGGUUCUCCCCGAAAGCUAUUUAGGUAGCGCCUCGUGAAUUCAUCUCCGGGGGUAGAGCACUGUUUCGGCUAGGGGGCCAUCCCGGCUUACCAACCCGAUGCAAACUGCGAAUACCGGAGAAUGUUAUCACGGGAGACACACGGCGGGUGCUAACGUCCGUCGUGAAGAGGGAAACAACCCAGACCGCCAGCUAAGGUCCCAAAGUCAUGGUUAAGUGGGAAACGAUGUGGGAAGGCCCAGACAGCCAGGAUGUUGGCUUAGAAGCAGCCAUCAUUUAAAGAAAGCGUAAUAGCUCACUGGUCGAGUCGGCCUGCGCGGAAGAUGUAACGGGGCUAAACCAUGCACCGAAGCUGCGGCAGCGA